rnacentral:RNase_P_RNA from 1 species
GCGAGCUGGAUAGCUAACUUCGGAGUUCAGUUAUUAAAUUAACAGAUACUGAUAAAAUAUGGGUAUCGAAUUCUGAGGAAGGUCCGCACAUCAUUAAAAGCCAUCUGCGAAAGCAGACAUUCGUGAGGAUGAGCUCUGGUAUAGAAACGGGACACUCUCUUUGAGAAAUCAUUGGAGAAACAGCUGGAACGAGCAUCUUGGCUGAUGCAACCACUUUAAACGUGGGCUUAGUAGGAUGUUAGCACAAACAGUUUGUCCUUAGUAAAACAAAAAGUCCUUUGGACUUUUGGAUAUCAAGAUUAUUGAAUCUUGACAUAAGGGAAACAAUGUUUGACAGAAUGUGGCCUAUUUCUGGCUCGC